rnacentral:rRNA from 1 species
AGGUAACCUGCCUGCAAGACCGGGAUAACAUUCGGAAACGAAUGCUAAUACCGGAUACGCGACUCUCUCGCAUGGGAGAGUCGGGAAAGACGGAGCAAUCUGUCACUUGCAGAUGGACCUGCGGCGCAUUAGCUAGUUGGUGAGGUAAGGGCUCACCAAGGCGACGAUGCGUAGCCGACCUGAGAGGGUGAUCGGCCACACUGGGACUGAGACACGGCCCAGACUCCUACGGGAGGCAGCAGUAGGGAAUCUUCCGCAAUGGACGAAAGUCUGACGGAGCAACGCCGCGUGAGUGAUGAAGGUUUUCGGAUCGUAAAGCUCUGUUGCCAGGGAAGAACGCUAUGGAGAGUAACUGCUCCAUAGGUGACGGUACCUGAGAAGAAAGCCCCGGCUAACUACGUGCCAGCAGCCGCGGUAAUACGUAGGGGGCAAGCGUUGUCCGGAAUUAUUGGGCGUAAAGCGCGCGCAGGCGGCUAAUUAAGUCUGGUGUUUAAUCCCGGAGCUCAACUCCGGGUCGCACGGGAAACUGGUUGGCUUGAGUACAGAAGAGGAAAGUGGAAUUCCACGU